AGACAUGCCUCUAAUGUCAGCGGGCAGCAGGACAGCCGAAUUAAAGAGGUACUCGAUCAUUUGUUUCGCGGGCUCACUAGUGACUCCAAAUUGUGCCACCGUUGAUCUUAAUUGAGACAAAAGUUUCCAAUCAAGCUGCGUAACUUCAGCUCGUUGGCCCACCCCUGCAAAGGGUGAAAUAUCACGGGAAAAGCAAGCGGGGAGGCUAUUUGCUCCUGAGCUGCUGCCGCCAGUUCCGUGUCUCCCUCUUGCAGACCCUGCUUUGCUAGCGCCGCCCACGCUUCACGCCAACCCUGUGCCAUAGCCUCCGCGAGAUCUGAUAAGGCCCCGGGGAACGGCUCCGUGGCUGCGGCGUUAGAUAAUGUACUUGAAGAGGGGGGCGGCGGAAGCGGCGAGUGAUCCGAGGGGACAGGGGGUGCAGAUGGAGUGGUAGACUCCCUAGGAUCUGGCGGGGGCAGAUCAACAGAAGCAAAUAUCAGUGGAUUUGGAGCUGAAGGGUCGAUGUAAGCCUUAUUGCGAUCCUGCGCCACACGGGCAUUAUCGGCAGCUUGCUUUUCUGCCUGACACAUUAACAACUCAUUCUGCACCACCUUCCAUAACUUACUCAUCUUUUUUGCUACUUUGUCAUCUUCUAAAACUAACUCCCAUAAGCGAUCACCAUACCUGCGCCACUCAUGUAGCUCAUGGACUGAGUGAGGGUUAGUAAAAAACUCAUAAGAAACAGCAUGGGUUAACAGGAGAGGUAAAUCCUUCUCUAAAUCUAAUCCUUUGAUGCCCCGCUUUCUCAAGAAGGCGGCAAAAAGAUCAUACGCCGCUUGCCUGUCCAUACUCACCGGUACUGUUGCAACCCCCCCAGGCGUCGGCAGCGCGUAGCGGCAGAGCCCACCGAUGUGGCGCUCAGGGCGAUGUAGCGCCGUCCAAGGGACCUGUCCCCAACGCAGCUCUGAGGAGGAAAGGGAAAGUGUGUUCGGGGGCCAGAUGUCGCCAGAGGUCGGGGAUUACCGGAGCCGCGGAAGACAAGCCUCAUGCUAUCAUGCACACAUCUGUGGGCUGCAGACCUUGAGACAUGCACUCCUGGGGCUCAAGAGUCCUCCAGAAAGAGCUGGAUGUGGGAACUCCACAAGGACACAGACACUGUUCUACCUUGGAUGGCUGCCACAUCGUGUGUGCCCAGCAACAGGACAAGAGGCCAGAGGUAGAAACUGAUGUCCAGGAAGUUCUACCUUAAUAUGAGGAAAAACAUUUUUCCUGUGCAGUGACUGAGCACUGACACAGAUUUACUAGAGAGGGUGUGGAGUCUCCUCCCUGGGGAUAUUCCAGACCUGUCUGGACACACUUCUGGGCCCUGGGCUCUGGGAUGGCCCUGCUGGAGCGGGGAGGUGGCACCACAUGAGCCACUCUGGGCCCUUCCAGUGACAGGACAAGAGGACACAGCCUUAAGCUGCAGCAGGGGAGGUUUAGGCUGGACAUUAGGGAGAAGUUCUUCACAGGAAGAGUGGCUGGGUGUUGGAAUGAGCUGCCCAGGGAGUUGGUGGAGACACCAUCUCUGGAUGUAGAAUCAUUGCCAUGGUCUAGUUGACGAGAUGGUGUUAGGUCAUAGGUUGGGCUGAAUGAUAUCAAAGAUCUUUCCCAACCUGAUUGAUUCUGUGAUUCUGUCAUCUCACUUGAUGGGUAAAUCUCCUUGUAGAGGCUGUCUCUGUUUAUUUGUUCCAUGCUCAGCAUAAUAUGUUUAGAGACUGGAUGGAAAUCCGUUUGCUAUAUUGCUGUUGACUGUUCUACAAUGCUACAGUAAAUUUAACUCACUGUGAACACAAUUACCCAUAAUAACCCAAAUUCCUGCCACAGCUCUGCAUCUCCAUCCUGGGGGCACUGUAAAAUAUACUCUUGCAUUGGGCCUGGCAAUUUCAUUCACUGCUGGUCAAUAUUUUCUUCUCAAAGAAUUUUCCAACAAGACUUUCCACAGGUGGAUAUACUAAGUAUAUUAAUAUAUCUUAAACUAUGUAUAAUAUAAUAAAUGUAAUAAAAUAAAAUUAAAUAUAAUAAAA
ensembl:lncRNA